AUGGAGAAGAUUUUUGACAGAAAGAAGCGGAGGUCCAGAAGGACUAACCAGCUCGAGACUGAGAAAGCACAGAAAGAAGUCGAGGUCCAGAAGGCGAUGGAGGAAAACGUGAGGCUACGUGCCAUGGUCGACAAGAAGGACGCUCAGCUCCAGGAGAUGAGCGAGCAGUGCAAGUUCAUGGAUUUGAACCAUCCAAACUUGUGGAAGACAGACACACCAGAUAAGAAACCUGCACUUGUCCAACUGAUGUCACUUACAGUUAUAUUGCCGCGGCAGCGGAAAAUACAUAUAUCCCUGGAUGUCCCGAAUAACCGAUGGUGA
rnacentral:rRNA from 1 species